UACGGGGGGAGCAAGCGUUAUUCGGAAUUAUUGGGCGUAAAGGGCGCGUAGGUGGCGGGACAAGCGUGCGGUGAAAGCUCGGGGCUCAACCCCGAGUCGGCCGUGCGAACUGUUUUGCUGGAGCACUGUAGAGGCAGGCGGAAUUCCGGGUGUAGCGGUGGAAUGCGUAGAGAUCCGGAAGAACACCGGUGGCGAAGGCGGCCUGCUGGGCAGUUGCUGACACUGAGGCGCGAAAGCGUGGGGAGCAAACAGG
rnacentral:rRNA from 1 species